ACGGGAGGCAGCAGUGGGGAAUAUUGCACAAUGGGGGAAACCCUGAUGCAGCGACGCCGCGUGAGUGAAGAAGUAUUUCGGUAUGUAAAGCUCUAUCAGCAGGAAAGAAAAUGACGGUACCUGACUAAGAAGCCCCGGCUAACUACGUGCCAGCAGCCGCGGUAAUACGUAGGGGGCAAGCGUUAUCCGGAUUUACUGGGUGUAAAGGGAGCGUAGACGGUAAGGCAAGUCUGAAGUGAAAUGCCAGGGCUCACCCCUGGAACUGCUUUGGAAACUGUCCUACUAGAGUGCAGGAGAGGUAAGUGGAAUUCCUAGUGUAGCGGUGAAAUGCGUAGAUAUUAGGAGGAACACCAGUGGCGAAGGCGGCUUACUGGACUGUAACUGACGUUGAGGCUCGAAAGCGUGGGGAGCAAACAGGAUUAGAUACCCUGGUA
rnacentral:rRNA from 1 species